UGGGGAUUCCUGAAGCCAUCUGCUAAAGCAGCAACGGGAAUACAGUGGGCAGGGCUGCCAUCUUGCCUGGGAAAGUCACCGAGGGAAACUACUCAAGAAGGAAGACCCACCAUGAAUGUUACCACCAUCCUAUGCUGGGAGCUUGGACUGAGUAAGAAGGAGGAAAGAAGCUAAGCCCUACUGUUUGUCAUUCUCUAUUUCUUGGUUGAGAUGCAAGGUCACCGGCUGCCUUGCACUCCCCAUGUCAAGCCUUCCUUGAAGGAAUGGAGACAUUCCUUCAAACCACGAGCCAAAAUGAACCCUUGCUUCCUUAAUAUUCUUUGUUGUUAUGUGUGUGUGUGUGUGUGUGUGUGUGUGUGUGUGUGUGUGUUUUGUUUUGUUAUUUCAUCACAGCAAGGAGACAUAUAACCAACACAAGUAGAUGUUCACUAGACACAGUGGUGGGAAGGUAGGAGUUUCGAACAGAACAAACCCUGACCAGAACUGUCUCUCAGGACAAGCUGCUUUCACCUUCCACUUCUCCAAGGAAUCGGGGGACAGAAGGGCAGAGUGGGGUUGCCUUCACAGUCUACUUCCUUGAUCUGGAACAUUCUGCUCACAGCUACUGAAAUCCCCAUUGCAACCAUCUAAUAACAACCUGCUCUCUGGGCUGAAGAAAUGGUUCAGCGGUUAAGAGCACUGGCUGUUCUUCUUUAGAACCUGGGUUCAAUUCCCAGCAUCCACACGGCAGCUCAUACCUGUUUGUAACUCUAAGAUCUGAUACCCUCACACAGACAUACAUGCAGGCAAAAUACCAAUGCAAGUGAAAUAAAAGUAAAUUAUUAAAAAAAAAAAUCUUUAUCUCU
rnacentral:lncRNA from 1 species